rnacentral:rRNA from 1 species
GACGAACGCUGGCGGCGUGCCUAAUACAUGCAAGUAGAACGCUGAAGGAGGAGCUUGCUUCUCCGGAUGAGUUGCGAACGGGUGAGUAACGCGUAGGUAACCUGCCUGGUAGCGGGGGAUAACUAUUGGAAACGAUAGCUAAUACCGCAUAAGAGUAGAUGUUGCAUGACAUUUACUUAAAAGGUGCAAUUGCAUCACUACCAGAUGGACCUGCGUUGUAUUAGCUAGUGGGUGGGGUAACGGCUCACCAAGGCGACGAUACAUAGACGACCUGAGAGGGGGCUCGGCCACACGGGAACUGAGCACCGGCCCAGACUCCUACGGGGGGCCGCAGUGGGGAAUUUUCGGCAAUGGGCGAAAGCCUGACGGAGCAACCCCGCGUGAGUGAUGAAGGUUUUCGGAUCGUAAACCUCUUUUAUUAGGGAAGAACAUAUGUGUAAGUAAAAGUGCCCACCUUGACGGUACCUUAUCCGAAAGCGACGGCUAACUACGUG